rnacentral:ncRNA from 1 species
ACGGAAGCCGGGUGAGGCCAAGACCGAACCGGAAGAGAAGGUUCGGCCUCCCGACCUCGGCUCCUAGCACGGGUCCCGGAACCCACGCGGAGCACACGCCGCGGAAUAGGCAAAAGCGUUGCGGGCCUGCGUUAUUGCGAAAAUCGAACGACCAUGUCAGCCCUUUGGGUGGGGUUGGUGUCGUAGCGUUUCGCAGUCACGCCGAGGCCAACCCACGCAACCCACAACGCACGCUUGGUAACCGGAGCCCCGUGCUAGCGGGCGGCGAACCGCAGUUGUCUCGGCAACUCGGGUCGCCGCCCGUUUUGCCGU